CAGCAGCAGCAAGCAAAUGCAGCAGUAGUAAUAGAAGAAGGAGAAACAGCAGAGGAGAGUGAGGAUAAACAGGAAAAUGAAGGGAGAGAAGGAAGAUAAGAACAAGGAAAAAAAGCUGGAGCAGUGUAAAGGCAUCAGUAAAAUUCAAUCAUUCAUCAUUCUACAUAUUUGCUGGAAAAAUAGCUUUUGUCCUUUAACUACACUUCAAGGUUUUAUUGGCGGUUUGAGACCAUCCAGAUAUCUCUCUCUGUGCACAGGAAUGAACAGCACUCCAGAUGGUGCAGCUCCGUCAGCCUUGAUGCCCAAUUGUACACAAUGAAUGGACUUCCCACCUGGCUAUAUGUUAUAUGCUCAAACAAGAAUGACCAUACAGCAUUAAUGACACAUAUAACUGCUACUUACAGACAAUUGGAUUUGUGCUUUGUAUUUUAUGGAUGUAUAAACUUACCCAGGCUGUCUGAUCCACCCCCUUCUCACAUUUAGUUUAAUAAAAAAAUUAGAAGCCAUCAUCUAAGAAACCCAUGCAAUCCUUGUUUGUCUCUGAAGCAUCCAUGUAUCUUCCAUUCUGUGUGAAUUUAAUGUCACCUGUACUCCUGGUUUUACUUACUUAAUUCUCUUGGCACCCUCAUUUUAUCAUUGUCUAUCUUAUCUAUGUAACCCAUCCCUUCUAUUAUAUUUAGAUGAC
ensembl:lncRNA novel transcript